GAUAACCCCGGGAAACUGGGUAUAAUACCCGAUAGGUCUCGAUUGCUGGAAUGCAUCGAGAUUUAAAGCUCCGGCGCCUAAGGAUGGGUCUGCGGCCUAUCAGGUAGUAGUGGGUGUAGCGUACCUACUAGCCUACGACGGGUACGGGUUGUAAGAGCAAGAGCCCGGAGAUGGAUUCUGAGACACGAAUCCAGGCCCUACGGGGUGCAGCAGGCGCGAAAACUUUACAAUGCUGGCAACAGCGAUAAGGGAACCUCGAGUGCCAGGUUACAAAUCUGGCUGUCGAGAUGCCUAAAAAGCAUUUCAUAGCAAGGGCCGGGCAAGACCGGUGCCAGCCGCCGCGGUAACACCGGCGGCUCGAGUGGUAACCGUUAUUAUUGGGUCUAAAGGGUCCGUAGCCGGCCGGAUAAGUCUCUUGAGAAAUCUGGCAGCUUAACUGUCAGGCUUUCAGGAGAUACUGUCUGGCUCGAGGCCGGGAGAGGUGAGAGGUACUUCAGGGGUAGGGGUGAAAUCUUGUAAUCCUUGAAGGACCACCAGUGGCGAAGGCGUCUCACCAGAACGGACCUGACGGCAAGGGACGAAAGCUAGGGGCACGAACCGGAUUAGAUACCCGGGUAGUCCUAGCCGUAAACGAUACUCGCUAGGUGUCGGCCACGGUGCGACCGUUGUCGGUGCCGUAGGGAAGCCGUGAAGCGAGCCACCUGGGAAGUACGGCCGCAAGGCUGAAACUUAAAGGAAUUGGCGGGGGGAGCACCACAACGGGCGGGAGCUUGCGGUUUAAUUGGAAUUCAACGCCGGAAAUCUUACCGGGACCGACAGCAAUAUGAAGGCCAGCUGAAGACUUUGCCGGAUAGCUGAAAGUGGUGCGU
rnacentral:rRNA from 1 species